AAAAACAUGGACUUGCUAUGGCAGUCUGCAAAAGACAUUACCAAUGACGCAAUAUACGAGAGAAAAUUUGACUCAAUAGGGCAGUCUGCAGGAGGCAUUACAAAUAACGCAAUGCAUGAGGUAAAAAUAAUUAAAAAAAAAUUAUGUUAAUAUAUAUAUUUUUUAAUUAAUAAUUCUUUCAUUUUUUUCAGGAUAAUCUUAGGUAUUCUCCAGGAUUAGAUUACAUUCUGCUGGAUGCUGAUUCUAUGCGAGCAGCAGCAGAGCGUAGCGUAAUUGAAGCCCAUUUCUGCUCAGCGCCUACUAAUAUACAAGUAGAUAGGCUAUAGGCAUACUGGAACACACGGGUUCUAGAACACCCCCUCCCUUCUCAAAGUGUUCCAGAAUCCGAGGUGUGUAUUUUAGAUGGAGGGAUUGUCGAUCCCUCUCUUCCCUCCCCUAGCAACCGAGAAUUCAUCCCCCUCUCAAAGUAUUUUAGAUGGAGGGAUUUUUCGAUCCCUCCUUUCCCGCCCUUAGCGACCGACAAUUCACCCCACUCUCAAAGUGAGCCAGUAACCUUAACACAGAGCCUUAUGGACGGCCCUCGCUCUAGAUCAGAAGAAAAUCUAUUGGCUGUUUUCUGAGGAGAGAGGGAAAGAACAGCCCUUCGUAUUUUCUAAAGUAAUAGAAUCUAAGGAAAAAACAGGCUUGUCUCGUUCUCAGGGAAAGUGUGCACAAUGUAUUUCCUGUGCGCAAAAGAAAGCCUUCUCAUACAGUAGGUGCAUUUUUCAGCGCUCUUUAAGAAUAAAUACACUGCUGGCCCUUUUUUAGAAAAAUGUUUUCACGAGUCAAAGCGAUAUUUGAAUGCUAUUUACCCUUGCGCGCAAUAGUCCCACGCGCAACAGGCCCCCCGAGCGGGUGUAAAGAAGAAAAAGGAUUUUUGUCUGCGCUCUGUUAGACUUAAUUUACUGACCAAGAGAAAGAAGCGUAGGCUAUGUGACCUUUGCGGACAAAUGUAUAUACAAUUAUGCUACUGCUUGCCACCUCGUACGCAAUACACCCUCGUUCAGCAGACCCCGAGCAGGUAUAUGAGAAUGUUGCUUACUAUUUGAGUCUAUAAUUUUAAGUAAGGAAAAUUUAUUUAGGGAACAGAAAAAAAUCACUUGCAAUUUCUUAUUCUUAUACGUCGAUACUACCCUUCCAGUGACUGCAAUCGAGGAAACCUCAAGUCAGACAAUGAGAGUGAUAAAGAAUAAGGGUAAUAGAGAUAAUAAGUUGCAGUACGGAAGCGGCGAGCCUCCCAUUCUGGUCACUGUCGGGUCUUCUUCAGUCAAGAGAGUCAGAAUGUCAAAUACGCCCCGCCGUUCCAACCUCCGCUAUAAUAGCGAAGAAGAGACCGAAUAGCAUAGAGUCAGAGAACAUGAUGACUCACUUAAACUCAAUAGAAUGCACUACGAAUACAUUACACAGAAACGCGAGAAGACGAGAGACAACGAAAUCGAGA